GCUAUACAUGCAGUCGAACGAAGUAGCAAUACUUAGUGGCAGACGGGUGAGUAACAUGUGGGUAUCUUCCCUUUGGUGAGGAAUAACACGAGGAAACUUGUGCUAAUACCUCAUAAGUCUUUACAGAGAAAGCUUUAUGCGCCAUUGGAUGAGCCUGCACUUGAUUAGUUUGUUGGUGGGGUAAUGGCCUACCAAGACAAUGAUCAAUAGCUGAUUUGAGAGGAUGAUCAGCCACAUUGGGACUGAGACACGGCCCAAACUCCUACGGGAGGCAGCAGUAGGGAAUCUUGCACAAUGGAGGAAACUCUGAUGCAGCGAUGCCGCGUGAGUGAAGAAGGCCUUUGGGUUGUAAAGCUCUUUCGUCGGGGAAGAAAAUGACUGUACCCGAAUAAGAAGGUCCGGCUAACUUCGUGCCAGCAGCCGCGGUAAUACGAAGGGACCUAGCGUAGUUCGGAAUUACUGGGCUUAAAGAGUUCGUAGGUGGUUAAAAAAGUUGAUGGUGAAAUCCCAGAGCUUAACUCUGGAACUGCCAUCAAAACUUUUUAGCUAGAGUAUGAUAGAGGAAAGCAGAAUUUCUAGUGUAGAGGUGAAAUUCGUAGAUAUUAGAAAGAAUACCAAUUGCGAAGGCAGCUUUCUGGAUCAUUACUGACGCUGAGGAACGAAAGCAUGGGUAGCGAAGAGGAUUAGAUACCCUCGUAGUCCAUGCCGUAAACGAUGUGUGUUAGACGUUGGAAAUUUAUUUUCAGUGUCACAGUGAAAACAAUAAACACACCGCCUGGGGAGUACGACCGCAAGGUUAAAACUCAAAUGAAUUGACGGGGACCCGCACAAGUAGUGGAGCAUGUGGUUUAAUUCGAAGAUACGCGCAGAACCUUACCAACACUUGACAUGUUCGUCGCGACUCUAGAGAUUAGAGUUUUCGGUUCGGCCGGACGAAACACAGGUGGCUGCAUGGCUGUCGUCAGCUCGUGUCGUGAGAUGUUGGGUUAAGUC
rnacentral:rRNA from 1 species